CUUCGGCAAAUGGACAAAGUGUAUACAGAAAUCGAGUGAUUAUGUCAAAAAAUGAUGUAUGUCUUUUUUGACAAUUGCUUAAAAUAAAUUCUACACCGACAGAGCGGGCUGUUAAUCUAGAGGCUGGAGUACAAAGAAGUGGCACAAUGAUGUGGGCUGAUGACAUUUAUAAUUAUCAAGGAAUCACCCCUACAUUCGCUCAGAAUUUUAAUGAAACUGUCCCUUGGGAAGGAAGAACUGAUACCUUGAUAUCACGGUUUGUACAUCCUAUAUAUACGACAAAUUUUAGAACAUUAUAUAACGAAGAACCAGAUCGUCGUGGCCAUGUGAUGUGAAUAAAAGGACUUGAAUUUGAUGAUAUUUUUAUAAUGUUAGAUAACAUAACUAAGUAUCUUCACAGUAAGAUAGGAUGACAUGGUUUACAUGAUCUUAAUGUUGUUCACUCGAGUGAUGAUAUUAUAAGGAAAAGUGUAAUAUCACAGGAUAUUUAUGUUUAGUAACCAGUAAUUCAGAGAUUGGUAUUCAUGGUUACUAUAACGAGGCUGUAGAAACGCACCCUUUCUUCUUUGCAAAUGGUCCUGUAUUUAUGUCUAAGCCGAAACUGGAACCUCUGAAUAAUUUAGAUUUAUUCUUGUUAUUUUCUAAAAUACUUAUCUACAGUAUACCAUAAGGAAUGAUACCGUAUCGCACCUAAUCAAGUGCCUUAAGAAACAUCAACAGGAUAUCACAGUAAUCCCUUAUCGACUGAUAUUUGUAGCCACUACAAUAUCUAUGACACUGGUAGUAAUUAUAAGAACAAUAAUGAUGUUCUAUAAGAGGAAAUGAUGAUUAGGAACAAAAACUUACAGGAGAUAUCAUGCGGUGGAUGGAUAAUAUGUAAAAAAUAUUAAGCAGUAUAUGAAUUUUCAUAUUGCGUAGAGAUAACAAAAUGAAUUUUAAAAAAUGUCGACAUGAGGGAUACUGGAAAAUUUGAAAGUACAGUACCAUUGGGAAGAAAAUCACGAUAUUGAAAACGAUAUUUGCAAGUAAAUUUCCAAAAAAUCUGUUUUCAAAUUUUCGCUUUCUAUUUCACAUUAAAAGAAAGGGAGGGCUGCCUUCUUUUUCUGCAAGACAAAACAAACAUUCUGAAUCUCGUAUCAAUGAAUGAUGUCAAUAAGUUAUUUUUCUUUUCAGAUUGAACAAUAUUCCAGAUUUAUUCAUAAUUUCAUACUACGCGAAGAAUAGACUUUCAUAGGUAUAUAAAGGAAAUAUUAAGUAUAGGAAAACUCUUUUUCGUUGUAGGUGACAUAUGCUUCACGGUUGAACACAUGUAUUUUUGAACACAUAUAAAUGAAAAAGUACUCUUAUGGAG